GAUGAACGCUGGCGGCGUGCGUAAUACAUGCAAGUCGAACGGAGUGCUAGCAAUAGUACUUAGUGGCGAACGGGUGAGUAACGCGUUGGUGACCUGCCCCGAAGAGUGGGAUAACAGUUCGAAAGGACUGCUAAUACCGCAUGAUCUCUUUCUUGUUAGAGAGGGAAGAGGAAAGGAGCAAUCCGCUUUGGGAGGGGCCUGCGUCCCAUCAGCUAGUUGGUAGGGUAACGGCCUACCAAGGCGACGACGGGUAGGGGACCUGAGAGGGUGGCCCCCCACAAUGGAACUGAAACACGGUCCAUACACCUACGGGUGGCAG
rnacentral:rRNA from 1 species